AAUCAUCCCAGAGUCCCAUUAGUCCCGGCACAUUGUUCUUCAAGAAAAGAGAUUCAGAUUCAGCAUUCUGUAUAUCAAAUCUUAUGAGCACAGCAAAACUGCAGGGCUAUACCACCCAACAACAUCCUACAAGGGCUGAACAAGUGCCAUAGUAGUACAUGACAUGAUACCAUAUGCUUCCCACGAAGCCAAUAGUAGUAGUUAAACUUAAGCUAACAUCGCAGGUUCAGUUUGCUGAACCGCAGGGGUUCUUCCAUCUACUUGCCUUGAUCGUCCACAAGCUCAUUCCAGAAAUGUCAUUCGGAUCAGCGCUUCAUUUCUCCAGGUCCAUGCUCGGCUCCGGGUCGGCUGGAAGGCGCUUCUCCAGGUCGAGGCCCGGUUCCGGGUCCGAGCAAGGCUGCUUCUCCAGGUCCAGGCCCGGUUCCGGGUCCAAGCGAGGCUGCUUCUCCAGGUCUAGGCUCAUCAUUUCUGGGUCUGGACGAGGUCGCUCCUCCAGGUCCAGGCUCGGUUCCGGGUCCGGAUGAGGCUGUUUUUCAAGGUCCAGGCUG
rnacentral:lncRNA from 1 species